rnacentral:rRNA from 1 species
GAUGAACGCUGGCGGCGUGCCUAAUACAUGCAAGUCGAACGAAACUUCUUUAUCACCGAGUGCUUGCACUCACCGAUAAAGAGUUGAGUGGCGAACGGGUGAGUAACACGUGGGCAACCUGCCCAAAAGAGGGGGAUAACACCUGGAAACAGGUGCUAAUACCGCAUAACCAUAGUUACCGCAUGGUAACUAUGUAAAAGGUGGCUAUACUACCGCUUUUGGAUGGGCCCGCGGCGCAUUAGCUAGUUGGUAGGGUAAAGGCUUACCAAGGCAAUGAUGCGUAGCCGAAUUGAGAGGUUGAUCGGCCACAUUGGGACUGAGACACGACCCAAACUCCUACGGGAGGCAGCAGUAGGGAAUCUUCCACAAUGGGCGAAAGCCUGAUGGAGCAACGCCGCGUGGGUGAAGAAGGUCUUCGGAUCGUAAAACCCUGUUGUUAGAGAAGAAAGUGCGUGAGAGUAACUGUUCACGUUUCGACGGUAUCUAACCAGAAAGCCACGGCUAACUACGUG